rnacentral:rRNA from 1 species
CCUACGGGUGGCAGCAGUGAGGAAUAUUGGUCAAUGGGCGAGAGCCUGAACCAGCCAAGUCGCGUGAGGGAGUACUGCCCUAUGGGUUGUAAACCUCUUUUGUCGGGGAGCAAAAGCCGGACGUGUCCGGCUGUGAGAGUACCCGAAGAAAAAGCAUCGGCUAACUCCGUGCCAGCAGCCGCGGUAAUACGGAGGAUGCGAGCGUUAUCCGGAUUUAUUGGGUUUAAAGGGUGCGUAGGCGGAUCGUUAAGUCAGUGGUCAAAUUGAGGGGCUCAACCCCUUCCCGCCAUUGAAACUGGCGCUCUUGAGUGGAAGAGAAGUAUGCGGAAUGCGUGGUGUAGCGGUGAAAUGCAUAGAUAUCACGCAGAACCCCGAUUGCGAAGGCAGCAUGCCGGCUUCCGACUGACGCUGAAGCACGAAAGCGUGGGGAUCGAACAGGAUUAGAUACCCGUGUAGUC